UGGGGAAUUUUCCGCAAUGGGCGCAAGCCUGACGGAGCAACGCCGCGUGAGGGAUGAAGGCCUCUGGGCUGUAAACCUCUUUUCUCAGGGAAGAAGACCUGACGGUACCUGAGGAAUAAGCAUCGGCUAACUCCGUGCCAGCAGCCGCGGUAAGACGGAGGAUGCAAGCGUUAUCCGGAAUUAUUGGGCGUAAAGCGUCCGCAGGCGGCCUUGUAAGUCUGUCGUUAAAGCGUGGAGCUUAACUCCAUUUCGGCGAUGGAAACUACAAGGCUUGAGUGUGGUAGGGGCAGAGGGAAUUCCAGGUGUAGCGGUGAAAUGCGUAGAUAUCUGGAAGAACACCAGUGGCGAAAGCGCUCUGCUGGGCCAUAACUGACGCUCAGGGACGAAAGCUAGGGGAGCGAAAGGGAUUAGAUACCCCUGUAGUC
rnacentral:rRNA from 1 species